rnacentral:rRNA from 1 species
GAGUUUGAUCCUGGCUCAGAACGAACGCUGGCGGCGUGCUUAACACAUGCAAGUCGAACGUGAUCCGGAGCUUGCUCCGGUGAAAGUGGCGCACGGGUGAGUAACGCGUGGAUAAUCUGCCCUGGUAUCUGGGAUAACAUCUCGAAAGGGGUGCUAAUACCGGAUAAGCCCACGGGAUCCUCGGAUUCUGCGGGAAAAGGUGGCCUCUAUUUAUAAGCUACCGUAUCAGGAUGAGUCCGCGUACCAUUAGCUAGUUGGUAGGGUAAAGGCCUACCAAGGCUACGAUGGUUAGCUGGUCUGAGAGGAUGAUCAGCCACACUGGAACUGAGACACGGUCCAGACUCCUACGGGAGGCAGCAGUGGGGAAUUUUGCGCAAUGGGGGAAACCCUGACGCAGCAACGCCGCGUGAGUGAUGAAGGCUUUCGGGUCGUAAAGCUCUGUCAGAGGGGAAGAAAUGAGACUGGCUAAUAUCCAGUUUUCUUGACGGUACCCUCAAAGGAAGCACCGGCUAACUCCGUGCCAGCAGCCGCGGUAAUAC